GACGAACGCUGGCGGCGUGCCUAACACAUGCAAGUCGAGCGAAUGAAGUUCCUUCGGGAAUGGAUUUAGCGGCGGACGGGUGAGUAACACGUGGGCAACCUGCCUCAUAGAGGGGAAUAGCCUUCCGAAAGGGAGAUUAAUACCGCAUAAGAAUGUAGUAUCGCAUGAUACAGCAAUUAAAGGAGCAAUCCGCUAUGAGAUGGGCCCGCGGCGCAUUAGCUAGUUGGUGAGGUAACGGCUCACCAAGGCGACGAUGCGUAGCCGACCUGAGAGGGUGAUCGGCCACAUUGGGACUGAGACACGGCCCAGACUCCUACGGGAGGCAGCAGUGGGGAAUAUUGCACAAUGGGGGAAACCCUGAUGCAGCAACGCCGCGUGAGUGAUGACGGCCUUCGGGUUGUAAAGCUCUGUCCUCAGGGACGAUAAUGACGGUACCUGAGGAGGAAGCCACGGCUAACUACGUG
rnacentral:rRNA from 1 species